UACGGGGGGGGCAAGCGUUGUUCGGAAUUACUGGGCGUAAAGAGCGCGCAGGCGGUCGUAUAAGUCGAAUGUGAAAGCCCCUGGCUCAACUAGGGAGAGUCAUUCGAUACUGUUCGACUCGAAGGCAGGAGAGGGUAGUGGAAUUCCCGGUGUAGUGGUGAAAUGCGUAGAUAUCGGGAGGAACACCAGUGGCGAAGGCGACUUCCUGGCCUGUUCUUGACGCUGAGGCGCGAAAGCUAGGGGAGCAAACGGG
rnacentral:rRNA from 1 species